CAGUCGCCGCGGUAAAACGUAGGUGGCAAGCGUUGUCCGGAAUUAUUGGGCGUAAAGCGCGCGCAGGUGGUUUAAUAAGUCUGAUGUGAAAGCCCACGGCUCAACCGUGGAGGGUCAUUGGAAACUGUUAAACUUGAGUGCAGGAGAGGAAAGUGGAAUUCCUAGUGUAGCGGUGAAAUGCGUAGAGAUUAGGAGGAACACCAGUGGCGAAGGCGGCUUUUUGGCCUGUAACUGACACUGAGGCGCGAAAGCGUGGGGAGCAAACAGGAUUAGAUACCCCUGUAGUCCCUGUCUCUUAUAC
rnacentral:rRNA from 1 species